ACGAAAGCCAGGGGAGCGAAAGGGAUUAGAUACCCCUGUAGUCCUGGCCGUAAACGAUGAACACUAGGUGUCGGGGGAAUCGACCCCUUCGGUGUCGUAGCUAACGCGUUAAGUGUUCCGCCUGGGGAGUACGCACGCAAGUGUGAAACUCAAAGGAAUUGACGGGGGCCCGCACAAGCGGUGGAGUAUGUGGUUUAAUUCGAUGCAACGCGAAGAACCUUACCAGGGUUUGACAUCCUGCGAACCUCUUAGAAAUUUGAGGGUGCCUUCGGGAAUGCAGUGACAGGUGGUGCAUGGCUGUCGUCAGCUCGUGUCGUGAGAUGUUGGGUUAAGUCCCGCAACGAGCGCAACCCACGUUUUUAGUUGCCAGCAUUUAGUUGGGCACUCUAGAAAGACCGCCGGUGAUAAACCGGAGGAAGGUGUGGAUGACGUCAAGUCAUCAUGCCCCUUACACCCUGGGCUACACACGUACUACAAUGCUACGGACAAAGGGCAGCAAACUCGCGAGAGCUAGCAAAUCCCAUAAACCGUGGCUCAGUUCAGGUCGUAGGCUGCAACUCGCCUACGUGAAGUAGGAAUCGCUAGUAAUCGCAGGUCAGCAUACUGCGGUGAAUACGUUCCCGGGCCUU
rnacentral:rRNA from 1 species